GGACACUGCGCAUGUGCACACAACCAUCAUCAACUAAAACAGUUCCUUCCGUGCAAAAGAGAAGUGAAAACGUCACAAAUAUCACACUGUACAUUUGUGCAGUCAACGCCACACUUGUCAUGUGGAGGAGGGAAACCCAAGCUGCAUACAUUUCAGUUUCAUCGCGGCCUUGAGAUGGGAUAGCGAACACUUCCAUCACUCAUCCAGUCGGCAUUGCAGUGGUCCAAUUCUUUGAAUUUACAUGAAUCCUAGAGCUGUCCAACUUGACCAAUCUGCGCUAUGGUUUCUUUGGAGGCCUUCAAUCAGGUUCUACUUUGGACACAGACCCCUUCUGCACAUGACUUCACAGACAAUUCUGGACAUGCAUGAAAACAUCAACCAACAGCCACGGACUAAUGGGGAAACUGGGAGAAAUCAAACUUACGGUCCACCUGAGAAGAAAUACUGAACAUUAAAGCUUUGGAAAAACAGCCUAAUGAUGGCACAGCCAUUAAAGAACGUGUGCUCUCCGUCACCU